rnacentral:rRNA from 1 species
UCAAGCUACAAAGGGCUCACGGUGAAUACCUUGGCACGUAGAGGCGAUGAAGGACGUGACUACCUGCGAUAAGUCUCGGGGAGCGGGAAGUAAGCUUUGAUCCGGGAAUUUCCGAAUGGGGCAACCCUGGGGUAACCCAACGGCUAGCUGAAUCCAUAGGCUAGUUCGAGCCAACCCAGCGAACUGAAACAUCUUAGUAGCUGGAGGAAAAGAAAGUAAAAACGACUCCCUUAGUAGCGGCGAGCGAAGCGGGAUCAGCCUAAACCAAUCAUUUCGAUGGUUGGGGUUGUGGGACAGCAAUGUGGACCAGGAAUUCUAGAAGAAGCGUUUGAACGACGCACCAUAGAGGGUGAUAGUCCCGUACUCGAAAGAUGAACUGGCCUAGCUGUAUCCCGAGUAGCACGGAGCACGUGAAAUUCCGUGUGAAUCUGCGAGGACCACCUCGUAAGGCUAAGUACUACUGCGUGACCGAUAGCGUACAGUACCGCGAGGGAAAGGUGAAAAGAACCCCGGGAGGGGAGUGAAACAGAACAUGAAACCGUGAGCCUACAAGCAAUGGGAGCCCGACUGAUCGGGUGACCGUGUGCCUGUUGAAGAAUGAGCCGGCGACUUAUAGGCACUGGCAGGUUAAGAGGAAAAUCUCGGAGCCACAGCGAAAGCGAGUCUGAAUAGGGCGAUCGUCAGUGUUUAUAGACCCGAACCCGGGUGAUCUAACCAUGGACAGGAUGAAGCUUGGGUGACACCAAGUGAAGGUCCGAACCGACUGAUGUUGAAAAAUCAGCGGAUGAGCUGUGGUUAGGGGUGAAAUGCCAAUCGAACCCGGAGCUAGCUGGUUCUCCCCGAAAUACAUUGAGGUGUAGCGUCUAGUGCUUAAGCAGGGGGGUAAAGCCACCGUUUCGGUGCGGGCUGCGAGAGCGGUACCAAAUCGAGACGAACUCUGAAUACCCUGUGUGUAACUAGGCAGUCAGACUGUGGGGGAUAAGCUUCAUGGUCAAGAGGGAAACAGCCCAGACCGCCAGCUAAGGUCCUUAAGUCACUACUAAGUGAUAAAGGAGGUAAGAUUGCAAAGACAACCAGGAGGUUUGCCUGGAAGCAGCCAUCCUCAAAGGAGUGCGUAAUAGCUCACUGGUCGAGCGAUCUUGCGCCGAAAAUGAACGGGGCUAAGUAGUGUACCGAAGCUGCGGAUUCUUUGAAUGGUAGGGGAGCGUUCUAUGUGGAUUGAAGCGUUAGCGAAAGCGGGCGUGGACUGCAUAGAAGUGAGAAUGUCGGCUUGAGUAGCGAAAACAUAGGUGAGAAUCCUAUGCCCCGAAACCCUAAGGGUUCCUCUGUCAAGCUCGUCUGCAGAGGGUUAGUCAGGACCUAAGGCGAGGCCGAAAGGCGUAGUCGAUGGACAACAGGUCAACAUUCCUGUACUGGCUGUUGUUUGGACAGGUGGACGGAGAAGGCUAAGCGAUCCGGAUAUUGGUUUCCGGUUCAAGCGUUCAAGGUGUUGAAGAGCGGUGAAAACGCUCUGAGCUAAAGCGUGAGUACGAGCUCUUACGAGAGCGAAGUCGCUGAUGUCAUACUUCCUAGAAAAGACCUUAGUCCGUUAAGCAACAAUUACCUGUACCCGAAACCGACACAGGUGGGGUGGUAGAGUAUACUAAGGGGCGCGAGUUAACUCUCUCUAAGGAACUCGGCAAAAUGGCCCCGUAACUUCGGGAGAAGGGGUGCCACCGUCAGGUGGCCGCAGUGAAGAGUCCCAGGCGACUGUUUACCAAAAACACAGGUCUCCGCUAAGUCGCAAGACGACGUAUGGGGGCUGACGCCUGCCCAGUGCCGGAAGGUUAAGGAAGCUGGUUAGCAUUGCGAAGCUAGCGACCGAAGCCCCGGUGAACGGCGGCCGUAACUAUAACGGUCCUAAGGUAGCGAAAUUCCUUGUCGGGUAAGUUCCGACCCGCACGAAAGGCGUAACGAUCUGGGAGCUGUCUCGGAGAGAGGCUCGGCGAAAUAGAAUUGUCUGUGAAGAUGCGGACUACGUACACCCGGACAGAAAGACCCUAUGAAGCUUUACUGUAGCUAGGUAUUGUGCUCGGGCCCUGAAUGCGCAGGAUAGGUGGGAGGCUUUGAUCUAUUCCUUGUGGGGGAUAGUGAGCCAUUGGUGAGAUACCACUCCUUCAGGGCUAGAGUUCUAACUGUUACCCGUUAUCCGGGAACAGGACAUUAUCUGGUGGGCAGUUUGACUGGGGCGGUCGCCUCCUAAAAAGUAACGGAGGAGGGGUCA